rnacentral:snoRNA from 1 species
UUGCACUGAUGAUCGUGGAUCUUACUGACCUGGCAUUGCUGGCCUCUGGGCCGGCUCUGGCCAGGAAUUGAUCUCAGUUAAUCUUCUCUCUGAGCAG